GGGAACAUGGGGCUGUACGCUGCGGUGGCAGGCGUGCUGGCCGGCGUGGAGAGCCGCCAGGGCUCUAUCAAGGGGCUGGUGUACUCCAGCAACUUCCAGCCUUGAUGACUUACAAGCCCUCAAGGGGAAGCAUUUUCUCCUGGACUCCUUGAUGCCGGAGCUGCUGGUGUUUCCCGCCCAGACAGAUCUGCAUGAACACCCACUGUACCGGGCCGGACACCUCAUUCUGCAGGACAGGGCCAGCUGUCUCCCAGCCAUGCUGCUGGACCCCUGCCAGGCUCCCAUGUCAUCGAUGCCUGUGCCGCCCCAGGCAAUAAGACCAGUCACUUGGCUGCUCUUCUGAAGAACCAAGGGUAUGCCGAGCAGACAGCUGGAGGAUCCCGGGGCAGGGACACCUAGCCCGCGGCUCGUCUACUCCAUGUGCUCCCUCUGCCAGGAGGAGAAUGAAGACAUGGUACCAGAUGCGCUGCAGCAGAACCCGGGCGCCUUCAGGCUAGCUCCCGCCCUGCCUGCCCGGCCCCACCGAGGCCUGAGCACGUUCCCGGGUGCCGAGCACUGCCUCCGGGCUUCCCCCAAGACCACGCUUAGCGGUGGCUUCUUCGUUGCUGUAAUUGAACGGGUCGAGAUGCCGAUCUCAGCCUCACAGGCCAAAGCAUCAGCACCAGAACGCACACCCAGCCCAGCCCCAAAGAGAAAGAAGAGACAGCAAAGAGCCGCAGCCGGUGCUUGCACACCGCCUUGCACAUAGCAGAGGCUCCAGGCUGACUCCUUCCUGGUGGGAAAGGAAGAUGCCUGUCCUCUCCGUGGAGGACCCUGGGCCCUCACCGCAGGCAGCAGUUUGCAUUUUGAAAGGUUAUUGGGUCCCUUCCUCGGGCUGUGUUCUUGCUGGUGAGCAAAAGUGUUGCCUGCAGAAAUAAAAUGCAGAACGUACUCUA
ensembl:lncRNA NSUN5P1 NSUN5 pseudogene 1